rnacentral:rRNA from 1 species
GCUUAGCCCUAAACAUAGACAAUACAAACACAAUAUUGUCCGCCAGAGAACUACAAGCGAAAAACUCGAAACUCCAAGGACUUGGCGGUGCUCCACACCAGCCUAGAGGAGCCUGUCCUAUAAUCGAUACUCCACGUUAAACCUUACCGCCCUUAGCCCCUCAGCCUAUAUACCGCCGUCGUCAGCUUACCUUGUGAAAGUAACAACAGUAGGCACAAUAGUUAUUAACUAGCACGUCAGGUCAAGGUGUAGCACAUACGGCGGAAGAGAUGGGCUACAUUUUCUACUACAGAACAAACGAACGGCACAAUGAAAUAUGUACCCGAAGGCGGAUUUAGCAGUAAGGUAAAUAAGAAACAUUACCUUAAACCCGCUCUGGAGCGCGC